rnacentral:rRNA from 1 species
AUUGAACGCUGGCGGCAGGCCUAACACAUGCAAGUCGAACGAGUGGCGGACGGGUGAGUAAUGUCUGGGAAACUGCCUGAUGGAGGGGGAUAACUACUGGAAACGGUAGCUAAUACCGCAUACCAUCGGAUGUGCCCAGAUGGGAUUAGCUAGUAGGUGGGGAAAAGGCUCACCUAGGCGACGAUCCCUAGCUGGUCUGAGAGGAUGACCGGACACGCUGGGACUGAGACGCGGUCUGGAAUCCUACGGGUGGCAGAAGUUGGGAGUAUUGCAAAAUGGACGCAAGCCUGAUGCAGCCAUGCGGCGUGUAUGAAGAAGGUCUUCGGGUUGUAAAGUACUUUGAGCAGGGAGGCGUUACCCGCAGAAGAAGCACCGGCUAACUCCGUGCCAGCCGCCGCGGUAAUUC